GGAGCAGGCUGGGCAACCGCUCUUGCUUCGGUUGAUUUCAAAGCCAAAAACAGGAAUUGAGGUCAACCGAAGCGGGAGAGGAAAGUCCGAACACCAUAGGAUAGCAGGCUGGCUAACGGCCAGGCGGGGCGACCCGACGGAAUAGUGCAACAGAGAACAGACAGCCCUAAGCGUGCGAAGCACGGAAUUUCAAGUUUGAAAUUCCGUGCUUCGCACGACGGGCGAUGGUGAAACGGUGAGGUAAAGGCUUCACCAGCGGGUGUGGCGACAUACCCGGCUAGGCAAACCCCCUGCGGUGCAAGACCAAAUAGGGAAACGUUAUAAAGCUGAUCCGGCCACUUCGCGUUUUGGCGCGGGGCGUUUUCGGGUAGGUCGCACCGAGCGGCGCAGUAAUGCGACGCCAAGAUGAAUGGUUGCCGCUAGCAUUUAACGAUGCGAGUACAGAAUUCGGCUUAUAGGUCAGCUCUGCGG
rnacentral:RNase_P_RNA from 1 species